rnacentral:rRNA from 1 species
CCUACGGGAGGCAGCAGUGGGGAAUAUUGGGCAAUGGAGGCAACUCUGACCCAGCAACGCCGCGUGAAUGAUGAAGGUCUUCGGAUUGUAAAGUUCUGUGAUGGGGGAUGAACACAAUGACGGUACCCCAAUAGCAAGCCACGGCUAACUACGUGCCAGCAGCCGCGGUAAUACGUAGGUGGCAAGCGUUAUCCGGAAUGACUGGGCGUAAAGGGUGCGUAGGUGGUUUAGUAAGUUGGCGGUGUAAUUCCGGGGCUCAACCUUGGCGCUACCGCCAAAACUAUUAGACUAGAGUGCAGGGGGGGUAAGUGGAAUUCCUAGUGUAGCGGUGGAAUGCGUAGAUAUUAGGAGGAACAUCAGGGGCGAAGGCGACUUACUGGACUGUAACUGACACUGCGGCACGAAAGCGUGGGGAGCAAACAGGAUUAGAUACCCGGGUAGUC